GGCCCUGAGACUACCUCAGCUGGUCAGAGUGUGAAGCUAAUAACGCCAAGGUUACAGGUUCAAUCCCUGUAUUGGCCA